rnacentral:snRNA from 1 species
GAGUUGUGUGUUCGACACAAAGUGAAUAACUCUUUCGCCUUUUACUAAAGAAUACCGUGCGUUGGCCACCCACAACCGUAAAAUUGGAGCCUUCCAUUUCUUAAAAAUGGAG